CUACGGGCGGCACCAGCGGGGAAUAUUGCACAAUGGGGGAAACCCUGAUGCAGCAACGCCGCGUGGAGGAUGACACAUUUCGGUGCGUAAACUCCUUUUAUAUAAGAAGAUAAUGACGGUAUUAUAUGAAUAAGCACCGGCUAACUCCGUGCCAGCAGCCGCGGUAAUACGGAGGGUGCAAGCGUUACUCGGAAUCACUGGGCGUAAAGAGCGUGUAGGCGGGUUGAUAAGUUUGAAGUGAAAUCCUAUGGCUCAACCAUAGAACUGCUUUGAAAACUGUUAACCUAGAGUAUGGGAGAGGUAGAUGGAAUUUCUGGUGUAGGGGUAAAAUCCGUAGAGAUCAGAAGGAAUACCGAUUGCGAAGGCGAUCUACUGGAACAUUACUGACGCUGAGACGCGAAAGCGUGGGGAGCAAACAGGAUUAGAUACCCCAGUAGUC
rnacentral:rRNA from 1 species